rnacentral:rRNA from 1 species
AUUGAACGCUGGCGGCAGGCCUAACACAUGCAAGUCGAGCGAGCGGCGGACGGGUGAGUAAUGUAUGGGGACUGCCCGAUAGAGGGGGCUAACUACUGGAAACGGUGGCUAAUACCGCAUACUAUCGGAUAACCCAUAUGGGAUUAGCUAGUAGGUGGGGUAAAGGCUCACCUAGGCGACGAUGUCUAGCUGGUCUGAGAGGAUGAUCAGCCACACUGGGACGGAGACACGGCCCAGACUCCUACGGAGGCAGCAGUGGGGAAUAUUAGGCAAUGGGCGCAAGCCUGAUGCAGCCAUGCCGCGUGUGUGAAGAAGGCCUUAGGGUUGUAAAGUACUGUCGGCGGGGAGGCGUUACCCGCAGAAGAAGCACCGGCUAACUACGUGCCAGCAGCCGCGGUAAUUC